rnacentral:rRNA from 1 species
GAUGAACGCUGGCGGCGUGCCUAAUACAUGCAAGUCGAGCGAACAGAUAAGGAGCUUGCUCCUUUGACGUUAGCGGCGGACGGGUGAGUAACACGUGUGUAACCUACCUAUAAGACUGGGAUAACUUCGGGAAACCGGAGCCAAUCCCGGAUAAUAUUUCGAACCGCAUGGUUCGAUAGUGGAAGAUGGUUUUGCUAUCACUUAUAGAUGGACCCGCGCCGUAUUAGCUAGUUGGUAAGGUAACGGCUUACCAAGGCGACGAUACGUAGCCGACCUGAGAGGGUGAUCGGCCACACUGGAAGUGAGACACGGUCCAGACUCCUACGGGAGGCAGCAGUAGGGAAUCUGCCGCAAAGGUCGAAAGCCUGACGGAGCAACGCCGCGUGAGUGAUGAAGGUCUUCGGAUCGUAAAACUCGGUUAUUAGGGAAGAACAUACGUGUAAGUAACUGUGCACGUCUUGACGGUACCUAAUCAGAAAGCCACGGCUAACUACGUG